GACACAAACUCAACACUACAGACUCUGAAACUGAAAUAUGCAAAGUCUAUUGCGCGGAUGGGUUGUAGGACAUGAAAACAAUAUGGCACUAGACUUAUGGGAUGAACACAAGGACACUCGAAACUAAGGGUAGAUGUGAACCUAACGGUAUGUCUGAAGGUUUGAUUACCACUUGAGGAGAACAAGUGUGGCCCGAUCUUCCGAAAGAUCUGGUAACUAUCGAUUUGGUGGAAACGAGACACAAAUUAGUCCAGCUUGCGAACAACACGAUUCGAAACCCUGCAAUUCUUUUUAUUUUUUUUUCAUAUUUUUAUUUUACUUAGGAGCACUCAAGAAGUAACCACACGAAAUUUGAGCUUAAACAAGUGAAAGACGUGGCCUGUGGAAUUUUUUGAAUAUUGCGAAAAAUAUGAAAAAAACUUAGGAGGUGAAAACUCAAACUUCAGAGGCGAAUUUGGGGAUUCUAAAAUUGUCGAAUCCGCCAAAGGCGGAGAUUGACACAUCCAAAAAAAAUUUCUGAUCGAUUUUGAUAUAUCGAACGUCAAAAUCGGAGUUCGUAUGCGAAAGUUAUGGUUAUUUUACGAACGGACUCCGAAUUAGAGGACAUAACGGUCCGGAUGUGGGAAAUAUUUGCGGCGGUGGCUAGAAAUUGAUGGAAACGGUUGGAAGAAACACACAAACUGGACUCUAACAAGACCUAACCAGUAACAAGACCUCGAUCAGGACACAAACUCAACACUACGGACUCUGAAACUGAAAUAUGCAAAGGCUAUGGCGCGGAUAGGUUGUAGGACAUGAAAACAAUAUGGCACUAGACUUAUUGGAAGAACACAAGGACACUCGAAACUAAAGGUAGAUGUGAACCUAACGGUAUGUCUGAAGCUUUGAUUACCAAUUGAGGAGAACAAGUGUGGCCCGAUCUUCCGAAAGGUUCUGGUAACUAUCAAUUUGGUGGAAACGAGACACGUACAAAUCAAUCCAGCUUGCGAACAACAGGAUUCGAAACCCUACAAUUCUUUUUAUUUUUUUUGAUAUUUUUCUUUUACUUAGGAGUACCCAAGAAGUAACCACAGGAAAUUUGAGCUUAAACAAGUGAAAGACGUGGCCUGUGAAACUUUUUGAAGAUUGCGAAAAAUAUGAAAAAAACAUUAGGAGGUGAAAACUCAAACUUCAGAGGCGAAUUUGGGGAUUCUGAAAUUGUCGAACCCGCCAUGGCGGUGAUAGGUAGAUCCAAAAUUUUAUUAUGAUCGAUUUUGAUAUAUGAAACGUCAAAAUCGGAGUUCGUAUGCGAAAGUUAUGGCUGUUUUACGAACGGACUCCGAAUUAGUGGACAAAACGGUCCGGAAGUGUGAAAAAUUUGCGGCGAUGGCAAGAAAUUGAUGGAAACGGUGGGAAAAAACACACAAACUAGACUCUAACAAGACCUAACCAGUAACGAAACCUCGACCAGGACACAAACUCAAUACUACGGACUCUGAAACUGAAAUAUGCAAAGGCUAUGGCGCGGAUGGGUUGUAGGACAUGAAAACAAUAUGGCACUAGACUUAUGGGACGAACACAAGGACACUCGAAACUAAGGGUAGAUGUGAACCUAACGGUAUGUUUGAAGCUUUGAUUACCACUUGAGGAGAACAAGUGUGGCCCGAUCUUCUGAAAGGUUCUGGUAACUAUUGAUUUGGUGGAAACGAGACACAAAUCAAUCCAGCUUGCGAACAAUAUGAUCCGAAACCCUGCAGUUAUUUUUUUUAUAUUUUUCUUUUACUUUGGAGCAUUCAAGAAGUAACCACAGAAAAUUUGAGCUUAAACAAGUGAAAGACGUGGCCUGUGGAAAUUUUUGAAGAUUGUGAAAAAUAUGAAAAAAACUUUGGGAGGUGAAAACUCAAACUUCAGAGGUGAAUUUGGGGAUUCUAAAAUUGUCGAACCCACCUAUGGCGAGGAUAGACAGAUCCAACAAAAUUUUCUGAUCGAUUUUGAUAUAUGGAACAUCAAAAUUGGAGUUUGUAUGCGAAAGUUAUGGUUGUUUUACGAACGGACUCCGAAUUAGAGGACAAAAUGGUCCAGAAGUGGGAAAUAUUUGCGGCGGUGUCUAGAAAUUGAUGGAAACGGUGGGAAGAAACACACAAAGUGGACUCUAACAAGACCUCGACCAGGACACAAACUCAACACUACAGACUCUGAAACUGAAAUAUGCAAAGUCUAUUGCGCGGAUGGGUUGUAGGACAUGAAAACAAUAUGGCACUAGACUUAUGGGAUGAACACAAGGACACUCGAAACUAAGGGUAGAUGUGAACCUAACGGUAUGUCUGAAGGUUUGAUUACCACUUGAGGAGAACAAGUGUGGCCCGAUCUUCCGAAAGAUCUGGUAACUAUCGAUUUGGUGGAAACGAGACACAAAUUAGUCCAGCUUGCGAACAACACGAUUCGAAACCCUGCAAUUCUUUUUAUUUUUUUUUCAUAUUUUUAUUUUACUUAGGAGCACUCAAGAAGUAACCACACGAAAUUUGAGCUUAAACAAGUGAAAGACGUGGCCUGUGGAAUUUUUUGAAUAUUGCGAAAAAUAUGAAAAAAACUUAGGAGGUGAAAACUCAAACUUCAGAGGCG
rnacentral:lncRNA from 1 species